rnacentral:rRNA from 1 species
UGCGUAGGCGGGCUAAUAAGUCAGUGGUGAAAUCCUGCGGCUUAACCGUAGAACUGCCAUUGAUACUGUUGCCCUUGAGUAUAGUUGAGGUGGGCGGAAUAUGUAAUGUAGCGGUGAAAUGCAUAGAUAUUACAUAGAACACCAAUUGCGAAGGCAGCUCACUAAGCUAUCACUGACGCUGAGGCACGAAAGCGUGGGGAGCGAACAGGAUUAGAUAAACGGGUAGGAC